rnacentral:rRNA from 1 species
CCUACGGGAGGCAGCAGUGAGGAAUAUUGGUCAAUGGACGAGAGUCUGAACCAGCCAAGUAGCGUGAAGGAUGACUGCCCUAUGGGUUGUAAACUUCUUUUAUAUGGGAAUAAAAUGUUCCACGUAUGUGAUUUUGUAUGUACCAUAUGAAUAAGGAUCGGCUAACUCCGUGCCAGCCGCCGCGGUAAUACGGUGGAUGCGAGCGUUAUCCGGAUUUAUUGGGUUUAAAGGGAGCGUAGGGGGAUUGUUAAGUCAGUUGUGAAAGUUUGCGGCUCAACCGGAAAAUUGCAGUUGAAACUGGCAGUCUUGAGUACAGAAGAGGUGGGCGGAAUUCGUGGUGUAGCGGUGAAAUGCGUAGAUAUAACGAAGAACUCCGAUUGCGAAGGCAGCUCACUGGACUGUAACUGACACUGAGGCUCGAAAGUGUGGGUAUCAAACAGGAUUAGAUACCCGUGUAGUC